UCUUCAGGCGAACAUUGACAUCGAAGUGAUACCCUAUGAUAUCAAGAAAAAUCCUAUGGAACAAAGAAGCAGAUAAUGAUCACAGAAGUGCAACAAAGAGCACCAGGACCUGAUCAUCAAAUGUUAUGGUGUAGAUCUAAUCAGGAACAAGACACCUAAGUUGAACUCUGGCAAGGUUGUCCCAUGCAGAAGGUUUGAUAUUUGGACUAGGGACUUGUACAAAAGAAGC